UCGAGUGAAGAAAGAAGUGGACAGCGGCGAAAGGGAGAGUAACGAGUAGAUUACGUACCUGAGGGUUCAGGAUAGCGGGGGGAAACCGCCGGUAAUACUGAAUAAUGUUUCCGAACCAAAGAUUUAUCGCCCUCGGAGCGGUUUGCUUACUAUUAGUUUGUUGGUGGGGUAAAGGCCUACCAAGGCUAAGAUGGUUAGCGGGUGUGAGAGCAUGGCCCGUCUCACUGGGACUGAGACACUGCCCAGACACCUACGGGUGGCUGCAGUCGAGAAUCUUCCGCAAUGGGCGAAAGCCUGACGGAGCGACGCCGCGUGCGGGAUGAAGGCCUUCGGGUUGUAAACCGCUGUCAGAGGGGAGGAAAUUUUGACCGAUCCUCAGAGGAAGCACAGGCUAAGUUCGUGCCAGCAGCCGCGGUAAUACGAACUGUGCGAACGUUAUUCGGAAUCACUGGGCUUAAAGGGUGCGUAGGCGGCUAUGAAGGUCAGGUGUGAAAUCCCACGGCUCAACCGUGGAACUGCGCCUGAAACCACAUAGCUUGAGGAAGUCAGAGGUAAGCGGAACUGAUGGUGGAGCGGUGAAAUGCGUUGAUAUCAUCAGGAACACCGGUGGCGAAAGCGGC
rnacentral:rRNA from 1 species